CAGCAAACUGGUGGUCGGGGGCUUGCCCCUCUCCUGGUUUCCCUAGUAAUCAAUGAGCCAACCAAAUGUCAAUUACCCCAUAACUGGCAAUUUCCCACUGCCUGAGAGGGAAGCUAGCCACCAUGUUCUGCCCUCCAUCUCCUGCACACAGUGAGGUGUUGCUGUGGGACCUUGCUUCAGACCUGUAAGUUGCAGUUCCUGCUUUUAAAAUUCUGUUAUUCCAGAAAAAGUCAUGUGUAUGGGUGUAAUGAUGCAAACCUUGACAGCACUCUGGAAUAAGCUGUGUAGCAGGCAACACUUGAGUGAGAAGGAAAGACUGAUCCACAAAAAUAUGGAAAUGUGAAUUUUCCUUUAGAACACACUUUUCCAGAAGAAACAAGGACUCUAAUGGGAGUGUUUUAGAUAUUGUUUCUCUGUUCCGCUAUGUAAUAGCAGGAAAAUACUGAAUAAUACAAUUCAGUAAAGUUUCAUAUUUUUAUGAGCAGUUUUAUUAGAAGUACCACUAUUUUUCUAAAUAGCAUUAUUAUUAGUCUUUGGAUUGUGAAGACCAUGAAUAUGUCAAGAAUGAUACAAUCACUUUCACUUAUAGUCCAAGGUACACAAAAUCAAAUACUGAAUCAGAGGACAGCCUCUGCUGUGAUUUCAGUUCCUGUUGAGUGGCCAGACU
ensembl:lncRNA